rnacentral:rRNA from 1 species
GCAGUAUUUUGACUGUACAAAGGUAGCAUAAUCAAUAGUCUCUUAAUUGGUGACUUGUAUGAAAGAUUGGAUGAAAUAUAAACUGUCUCUAGUUAAUUUAUAGAAAUUAAUUUUUUAGUAAAAAAGCUAAAAUAAUUUUAAAAGACGAGAAGACCCUAUAGAGUUUAAUAAUUUAUUUAAUUAUUGUUAAUAUAUAAUUUUUAAAAUUAUAAUAAAAUAAAUUAUUUUGUUGGGGUGAUAGAAAAAUUAAAUUAACUUUUUUUAUUUAUUAACAUUGAUUUAUGAUUAAAUGAUCCAUUUAUAAUGAUUAAAAGAAAAAAUUACCUUAGGGAUAACAGCGUAAUUUUUUUUUUUAGUUCAAAUAGGAAAAAAAGUUUGCGACCUCGAUGUUGGAUUAA